rnacentral:lncRNA from 1 species
GACAAGGGGAAAGGGAAGACUUCUUAUAAAUCAACAUAGGACUAUCAUGCACAGGUGUAGAUCCACUUAAUGGGAGAAAGUUUAAUGCCCAAAUUUUUUUUAAGAAGUUCCAAAAAGAAUACAAACAGGCUUAUAUUUCAACUCCCAGAUCCCUCUACAAAUAAAUCACCAUGCUUCAGAGCAUCCAACCUAAUGAGAAAUCCGUUCGAACAAAUACAAAUAUAAUUUUAUGAGACAAGCUAUUUCCCAGGCCAAUAAUAAGGCCUCUCAUCUAAAAAAAUAGAACCCAUAAAGGGCCUAAACAAUAAAAAUUUUAAGGAAAGAAAUAAUAUCCUCACCUCACAUGUAUCCAUUCCACAUUUGCCAUUCUGAUCAGCUUGCAACAAAUGGAAAAUGAGCAAUCAUUUAUUAGAGGCCGAGUUCUCGGGUAUGCUUUCCUUCUCC